rnacentral:rRNA from 2 species
AAGUCGAGCGGACAGAAGGGAGCUUGCUCCCGGAUGUUAGCGGCGGACGGGUGAGUAACACGUGGGUAACCUGCCUGUAAGACUGGGAUAACUCCGGGAAACCGGAGCUAAUACCGGAUAGUUCCUUGAACCGCAUGGUUCAAGGAUGAAAGACGGUUUCGGCUGUCACUUACAGAUGGACCCGCGGCGCAUUAGCUAGUUGGUGGGGUAAUGGCUCAACCAGGGCAACAAUCCGUAGCCGACCUGAGAGGGUGAUCGGCCACACUGGGACUGAGACACGGCCCAGACUCCUACGGGAGGCAGCAGUAGGGAAUCUUCCGCAAUGGACGAAAGUCUGACGGAGCAACGCCCCGUGAGUGAUGAAGGUUUUCGGAUCGUAAAGCUCUGUUGUUAGGGAAAAACAAGUGCGAGAGUAACUGCUCGCACCUUGACAGUACCUAACCACAAAAGCCACGGCUAACUACGUGCCAACAGCCGCGGUAAUACGUAUGUGGCAAGCGUUGUCCGGAAUUAUUGGGCUUAAAGGGCUCGCAGGCUG